ensembl:lncRNA
GGGCUGUGGGGCAGGCAAUGCUAUGGGGCAGGGAGUGCUGUGCUAUGGGGCAGGCGAUGCUAUGGGGCUGACAAUGCUAUGGGGCAGGCGAUGCUAUGGGGCUGUGGGGCAGACGAUGGUAUGGAACAGGCAGUGCUAUGGGGCAGGCAAUGCUAUGGGGCAGGGAGUGCUGUGCUAUGGGGCAGGCGAUGCUUUGGGGCAGGCGAUGCUAUGGGGCUGUGGGGCAGGCAAUGCUAUGGGGCAGGCGAUGCUAUGGGGCUGACGAUGCUAUGGGGCAGGGAGUGCUGUGCUAUGGGGCAGGCGAUGCUAUGGGGCUGACAAUGCUAUGGGGCAGUCGAUGCUAUGGGGCUGUGGGGCAGGAGAUGCUAUGGGGCUGGGAGUGCUAUGGGGCUGUGGGGCAGGCAAUGCUAUGGGGCAGGGAGUGCUGUGCUAUGGGGCAGGCGAUGCUAUGGGGCAGGCGAUGCUAUGGGGCUGUGGGGCAGGCAAUGCUAUGGGGCAGGCGAUGCUAUGGGGCUGAUGAUGCUAUGGGGCAGGGAGUGCUGUGCUAUGGGGCAGGCGAUGCUAUGGGGCUGACAAUGCUAUGGGGCAGGCGAUGCUAUGGGGCUGUGGGGCAGGUGAUGCUAUGGGGCUGUGGGGCAGGCAAUGCUAUGGGGCAGGGAGUGCUGAGCUAUGGGGCAGGAGAUGCUAUGGGGCAGGCGAUGCUAUGGGGCAGGGAGUGCUGUGCUAUGGGGCAGGCGAUGCUAUGGGGCUGACAAUGCUAUGGGGCAGGCGAUGCUAUGGGGCUGUGGGGCAGGUGAUGCUAUGGGGCUGUGGGGCAGGUAAUGCUAUGGGGCAGGGAGUGCUGUGCUAUGGGGCAGGCGAUGCUAUGGGGCUGUGGGGCAGGCAAUGCUAUGGGGCUGGGAGUGCUGUGCUAUGGGGCAGGCGAUGCUAUGGUGCUGUGGGUCGCGAUGUGGGGCAGCUGCUGACCUUCCCCCCCCCCCCCCCCAUUCCCGCCCCAUAGCCCUGGAGGGCGUCCUGGCGCGC